rnacentral:rRNA from 1 species
CACGUAGGGCGCGAGCGUUGUCCGGAAUUAUUGGGCGUAAAGAGCUCGUAGGCGGCCUGUUGCGUCCGCUGUGAAAGCCCGGGGCUUAACCCCGGGUCUGCAGUGGAUACGGGCAGGCUAGAGGUAGGUAGGGGAGAAUGGAAUUCCCGGUGUAGCGGUGAAAUGCGCAGAUAUCGGGAGGAACACCAGUGGCGAAGGCGGCGACCUGGACGGACAUUGACGCUGAGACGCGAAAGCGUGGGGAGCAAACAGG